rnacentral:rRNA from 1 species
AGAGUUCGAUCCUGGCUCAGGAUGAACGCUGGCGGCGCGCCUAACACAUGCAAGUCGAACGGUUAAAGCCCCUUCGGGGGUGCAUAGAGUGGCGAACGGCUGAGUAACACGUGGGCAACCUGCCCCCCGCACCGGGACAGCCUCGGGAAACCGUGGUUAAUACCGGAUACUCCGCCACCCCCGCAUGGGGGCGGCGGGAAAGCCCAGGCGGAGGGGGAUGGGCCCGCGGCCUGUUAGCUCGUUGGCGGGGUAACGGCCCACCAAGGCGAUGAUGGGUAGCCGGGUUGAGAGACCGACCGGCCAGAUUGGGACUGAGACACGGCCCAGACUCCUACGGGAGGCAGCAGUGGGGAAUCUUGCACAAUGGGCGAAAGCCUGAUGCAGCGACGCCGCGUGCGGGACGAAGGCCUUCGGGUCGUAAACCGCUUUCAGCAGGGACGAGGCCGAAAGGUGACGGUACCUGCAGAAGAAGCCCCGGCUAACUACGUGCCAGCAGCCGCGGUAAUACGUAGGGGGCAAGCGUUAUCCGGAUUUACUGGGCGUAAAGGGUGCGUAGGUGGUCCUUCAAGUCGGUGGUUAAAGGCUACGGCUCAACCGUAGUAAGCCGCCGAAACUGGAGGACUUGAGUGCAGGAGAGGAAAGUGGAAUUCCCAGUGUAGCGGUGAAAUGCGUAGAUAUUGGGAGGAACACCAGUAGCGAAGGCGGCUUUCUGGACUGCAACUGACACUGAGGCACGAAAGCGUGGGUAGCAAACAGGAUUAGAUACCCUGGUAGUCCACGCCGUAAACG